GCACCACAAGGGGUGAAGCCUGCGGUUCAAUUGGACUCAACGCCGGGAAACUUACCAGGAGAGACAGCAGAAUGCCGGUCAGGUUGACGACCUUACCUAACGAGCUGAGAGGAGGUGCAUGGCCGUCGCCAGUUCGUGCUGUGAGGUAUCCUGUUAAGUCAGGCAACGAACGAGAUCCGCGCCUUUAUUUGCCAGCAAGAAGUCACGACUUCGUUGGGAACACUAAAGGGACCGCCGUCAAUAAGACGGAGGAAGGAGCGGGCAAAGGCAGGUCAGUAUGCCCCGAAACCCCUGGGCUACACGCGGGCUGCAAUGGUAUGAACAAUGGGCUGUGACUCCGAAAGGAGAAACCAAUCCCGAAAUCAUAUCUCAGUUGGAAUUGUCGGCUGUAACCCGCCGACAUGAACGCGGAAUCCCUAGUAAUCGUGUGUCAUCAUCGCACGGUGAAUACGUCUCUGCUCCUUGCACACACCGCCCGUCGCUCCAUCCGAGUGUGCUAAAAAUGAGGUUUGGUCAAUUUGGUCAUAUCGAGUUUCUAGUAUGCGAGGAGGGAG
rnacentral:rRNA from 1 species